rnacentral:rRNA from 1 species
GGGAAUAUUGGACAAUGGGCGCAAGCCUGAUCCAGCCAUGCCGCGUGUGUGAAGAAGGCCUUCGGGUUGUAAAGCACUUUCAGCGGGGAGGAAGGGUGUUGUGUUAAUAGCACAGCAUUUUGACGUUACCCGCAGAAGAAGCACCGGCUAACUCCGUGCCAGCAGCCGCGGUAAUACGGAGGGUGCAAGCGUUAAUCGGAAUUACUGGGCGUAAAGCGCACGUAGGCGGUAUGUUAAGUUGGAUGUGAAAGCCCCGGGCUCAACCUGGGAAUUGCAUUCAAAACUGGCAUGCUAGAGUAUGUGAGAGGGGGGUAGAAUUCCAAGUGUAGCGGUGAAAUGCGUAGAGAUUUGGAGGAAUACCAGUGGCGAAGGCGGCCCCCUGGCACAAUACUGACGCUCAGGUGCGAAAGCGUGGGGAGCAAAC